GAAAUGCGAUAAGUAAUGUGAAUUGCAGAAUUCAGUGAAUCAUCGAAUCUUUGAACGCACAUUGCGCCCGUCAGCAUUCUGGCGGGCAUGCCUGUUCGAGCGUCAUUUCAACCCUCAGGACCCCCCUUUCGCGGGGAGGGACCUGGCGUUGGGGAUCGGCCCGCCCCCCGCGGCGGCGCCGUCCCCGAAAUCGAGUGGCGGUCUCGCUGCAGCCUCCCCUGCGUAGUAGUUACAACCUCGCAUCGGAGCGCGGCGCGGCCACGCCGUAAAACCCCCGACUUUCUGAACGUUGACCUCGGAUCAGGUAGGAAUACCCGCUGAACUUAAGC
rnacentral:misc_RNA from 1 species